rnacentral:rRNA from 1 species
CCUACGGGAGGCAGCAGUGAGGAAUAUUGGUCAAUGGCCGAGAGGCUGAACCAGCCAAGUCGCGUGAGGGAAGACGGCCCUACGGGUUGUAAACCUCUUUUGUCGGGGAGCAAAGCGAACCACGUGUGGUUCAUUGAGCGUACCCGAAGAAAAAGCAUCGGCUAAAUCCGUGCCAGCAGCCGCGGUAAUACGGAGGAUGCGAGCGUUAUCCGGAUGUAGUGGGUUUAAAGGGUGCGCGGGCGGAGGUGAAAGUCAGCGGUCAAAUUGCGGGGCUCAACCCCGUACUGCCGUUGAAACUGCAUCCCUUGAGUGCGCGAGAAGUAUGCGGAAUGCGUGGUGUAGCGGUGAAAUGCAUAGAUAUCACGCAGAACUCCGAUUGCGAAGGCAGCAUACCGGCGCGCAACUGACGCUCAUGCACGAAAGCGUGGGUAUCGAACAGGAUUAGAUACCCUUGUAGUC